UCCGUGACUUAUGUAAAUCACGAUGUACGCAUUCAUGCAAUAAAGGAUGACGCGAAUUUCGGUUUCGAAUCUGUUUUUUGGAUGCGUAGUAGUUUCGUUUGACAUGCGAUCGCGCGUCGACAUCGGACGCUAUGACACACUCGUGCCUUAUGUGCCACCGAAGCCCCGAAGUGGUCUGGCAUAUACCUUCACAUAUAUGCAAUGGCAAGCCCUUCCGUGUGUUCCAAAGACAAUGCCUACGCCUAGCCACAGCAGCUCCCUCAUACAGACUCCACAAACCAAGAGGCCGUGGAGGCAAAUGCAGG